UCUGGGCGCAGGUGCAUUUAUUAGUGCGAAACCAAUCAUUGACUUUUGCUUAAACUAGAUAAACGAGCUUAUCGCAUGGUCUUGAACCGGCGAAAUUACUGUCAAGUAUCUGCCUUAUCAACUGACGUUGGUACUGUAUUGGAGUACCAUGGUGUUAACGAGUAACGGGGAAUCAGGGUUCGAUUCCGGAGAGGGAGCCUCAGAAACGGCUACCAUGUCUAAGGAUAGCAGCAGGCGCGAAAAUUACCCACUGUUAAAGCAACGAGGUAGUGACGAGAAAUAACAAGACCGUUCUCUUUGAGGUCGGUCAUUGGAAUGAGUACAAUCCAGAAACUUUAACGAGUAUCUACGAGAGGGCAAGUCUGGUGCCAGCAGCCGCGGUAAUUCCAGCUCUCGUAAGGUAUAGAAUUAUUGCUGUGGUUAAAAAGUUCGUAGUUGAAUUGAUGAUGGGGCUCGGGUCUACUUUUAUAAGUAUGCACUCGGUGCCUAUCAAUUUGUGCGUUUACGUUAUCGGCGCUUGCGUUGGUGCGUGGCGUACAAGAUUACUUUGAACGGCUUAAGUGCUCAAAGCACGUUUUAUGACUGAACACCGGUGCAUGGAAUAAUAGAACAAGGCUUCGGCCGGUUUUUAUUGGUUUUGACGGCUGUCGCAAUGGUUAACAGGAACAGUCGGGGGCAUUCGUAUCGCUGCGCGAGAGGUGAAAUUCGUGGACCGUAGCGAGACGUACUAAAGCGAAGGCACUUGCCAAGA
rnacentral:rRNA from 1 species